rnacentral:rRNA from 1 species
UACAGAGGGUGCGAGCGUUGUUCGGAAUUAUUGGGCGUAAAGAGCUCGUAGGCGGUUUGUCGCGUCUGCCGUGAAAGUCCGGGGCUCAACUCCGGAUCUGCGGUGGGUACGGGCAGACUAGAGUGAUGUAGGGGAGACUGGAAUUCCUGGUGUAGCGGUGAAAUGCGCAGAUAUCAGGAGGAACACCGGUGGCGAAGGCGGUUCUCUGGGCAUUACCUGACGCUGAGGAGCGAAAGUGUGGGGAGCGAACAGG